rnacentral:rRNA from 1 species
UACGAAGGGUGCAAGCGUUACUCGGAAUUACUGGGCGUAAAGCGUGCGUAGGUGGUGAGUUAAGUCUGUCGUGAAAGCCCCGGGCUCAACCUGGGAAUGGCGAUGGAUACUGGCUCGCUAGAGUGCGGUAGAGGAGAGUGGAAUUCCCGGUGUAGCAGUGAAAUGCGUAGAGAUCGGGAGGAACAUCAGUUGCGAAGGCGGCUCUCUGGACCAGCACUGACGUUCAGGCACGAAAGCGUGGGGAGCAAACAGG